rnacentral:lncRNA from 1 species
AGAGAUCAAUAACUCAACUUCAGCCAACAGGAAUGUCUAUGAAGUCGAACCUACAGUCAGUGUGGUGCAAGGAGUAUUCAGCAACAAUGGUCAUGUCACCCAAGACCCAUAUGACCUUCCAAAGAACAGUCACAUCCCUUGCCAUUAUGACCUGCUGCCAGUAAGGGACAGUUCAUCCUCCCCAAAGAGAGAGGAUGGUGGUGGCAGCAGCAGCAGCACCACCACCAGCAACAGCAGCAACAGCAGCGAAUGACAUCAAAGGACUACUGGGUGACCAUUGGUACUCUUUUCAAGCCUUCAGUUCAUCUCCAGUUGGCACUGCAGAUGACUGUGAAUUACUCUAAUAAGCAGUUGUUGGACAUGUACCAGAAAGCUCCAAGCUGAGGCUAACACCCAUCGAGGUGUGUUGUGAUCACAGGGCUUAGAAGGAGAGAGCUUCAUGAUUUCUCCUUGCUGUUAGGUUAGGAAUGGCACCAAUGACUUGUUUUAAGAUGUUGGCUGAUAAGGUGAACUUCAUGGGACCUUUAAGAGACAGAGACUGGAGGAGACAUUGUAUUGUCACCUGGAAAACUAAAGUCUAUUUGUUGUCUGUAACAUCACAGAGCCACUCCUAGGAUCGUGCAGGUCACCACAUGUUUAUCUAAGAAAAGUGAAAACUGCCAAACACAUAGGAGACAAGGAAUAUUCUCCUGAGUCCUCCUUGCAUAAUGGUUUUUUUUUUCCAUUUGGACUCAAGAUCAGAAGCAUUCUGUCAGGUGGUAGGAUUGGAUAGCAAUGAGAGCAAAUCGAAACAUAAAACCUUUGUUUGUUUUUAGGAUGAGAAAUGUUCAAUUAGAAUUAUUUUAGACAUAG